rnacentral:rRNA from 1 species
CUGCGGAUGAAACCAGAAGCUUCCUGCAACGCUUUGAUGCCCGCUUUAACCGCGUCUUCAUCUUUGUCGUUGAGGAACGUCACAUAUACUUUGGCAUACGCCAGGUCGCGAGACAUUUCGACACCGGAAAAGGUGGUCAUCAUGCCCAGACGAGGAUCUUUAAUUUCACGCUGCAGGAUGAGAGCGAUCUCCAUCCACGGAAGUUUUCAGAGAUGAGAAUGUGCCUUCGGGAACCGUGAGACAGGUGCUGCAUGGCUGUCGUCAGCUCGUGUUGUGAAAUGUUGGGUUAAGUCCCGCAACGAGCGCAACCCUUAUCCUUUGWUGCCAGCGGUCCGGCCGGGAACUCAAAGGAGACUGCCAGUGAUAAACUGGAGGAAGGUGGGGAUGACGUCAAGUCAUCAUGGCCCUUACGACCAGGGCUACACACGUGCUACAAUGGCGCAUACAAAGAGAAGCGACCUCGCGAGAGCAAGCGAACCUCAUAAAGUGCGUCGUAGUCCGGAUUGGAGUCUGCAACUCGACUCCAUGAAGUCGGAAUCGCUAGUAAUCGUGGAUCAGAAUGCCACGGUGAAUACGUUCCCGGGCCUUGUACACACCGCCCGUCACACCAUGGGAGUGGGUUGCAAAAGAAGUAGGUAGCUUAACCUUCGGGAGGGCGCUUACCACUUUGUGAUUCAUGACUGGGGUGAAGUCGUAACAAGGUAACCGUAGGGGAACCUGCGGUUG